CAUAACUAGUAUUGGAGGCACUGCCUGCCCAGUGACAACCGUUAAACGGCCGCGGUAUCCUGACCGUGCAAAGGUAGCAUAAUCACUUGUUCUCUAAAUAAGGACUUGUAUGAAUGGCCACACGAGGGUUUUACUGUCUCUUACUUCUAAUCAGUGAAAUUGACCUUCCCGUGAAGAGGCGGGAAUAUGCCAAUAAGACGAGAAGACCCUAUGGAGCUUUAACUACUUAGCCCAAAGAAUCAAAUUUUAUCACCAAGGAAACAACAACACUCUUUAUGGGUUAACAGCUUUGAUUGGGGUGAUCUCGGAGAAUAAGAAAUCCUCCGAGCGAUUUUAAAGACUAGACCUACAAGUCGAAUCACACAAUCGCUUAUUGAUCCAAAAAAUUGAUCAACGGAACAAGUUACCCUAGGGAUAACAGCGCAAUCCUAUUCAAGAGUCCAUAUCGACAAUAGGGUUUACGACCUCGAUGUUGGAUCAGGACAUCCCGAUGGUGCAACCGCUAUCAAAGGUUCGUUUGUUCAACGAUUAAAGUCCUACGUGAUCUGAGUU
rnacentral:rRNA from 1 species